UGUUGCCAAGGCAGCCAAAAUACAGACCUGGGUUCAAAGUAGUUGCUGGGUGUGUAAGAGAGUAGUCACUUCCACUUUCAUGAAUACAGCUGCUCUGAAUGUGACAAAUACCAUUAUCAUCAUGGGUCUUAUUACCUCCAGCCACAAGGUGCUAUCUGAACAAAUGCUGGAUUUUCACUGCCAGACUCUUGAAUAUGUCACAUUUUUCUUUGGAUCUUUGGGUUAUUGUAACAGCUGUUUGUAAACAUUGUAAAGCCUACAUUAGGUACAGAAUGGGUAAGAAUAUUUUGACCCAAAUGUCUGCCCUCUGAACUAUUGUAAGGAAUGCAGCAUGUCUGCUGACACUUAAAGCAGUAGAUUUAAAUAGCAACCGGGAUCAACUUCCAGCUGAAUAAGUCAACAGGCAUUUUCAGUUUCGGACUCCAUCUGGGUCAGUUUUCUUUCAUCAGCUGGCCUGAGAACAUUCGAGGGUAUUCAGACCAUACUGAAAAAAAGAAAAGGAGGGGAAUAGCAAGAUAAUCGGAUAUAUCGCAGCCAUGAUCCUCAAAAAUUAAAAAAAGUUUUCCAACCAUCUUGCUUAAAUACAGGAAACUGUGAUUUGUCUUCCAGAAUUUUUUCAUCACUGAGCCUCAGCUCCUCUCUGAUAUAAACUCCUUAUGUGAUCUCCAUCAAAUGCACAGCUUCAGGACAUCUAAGAUAAGAAUUAUAAACACAGAUUCUGAUACUUUGGAAAGCCUAAGGAAAACUGACCUAAACGAAAAAGGGAGGAUAUUACGUAGAUCCUGCUCUUGAAGGAGCCGCCCACAGCUUAGAAGACAGAUGAGAAGAUCAUCAUCACAGAUUUGCUGUGAACAGCUCUGCUCAGCUCUGUCCCUGCCAGACUUGGGGCCACACAUACCCUUCUAAGAGGGCUAAAGAAGAUUCACAAAGAGCACUGCUUCUUGCUCCAGCUUUGGCAAGAGCAGAGGAUGAUUUUGUCUUUCGUAAUCCCAUGAGUAAGUAAUAUAAUUACCCAAAUUUCAUGGAAGAAGAAACCGAGGCCAAAAUUUGCCCAUGGUUACAAAAAAAUGAAUUAUCAUUCAUCUUUUUCAAGAGGAGAAUAUUAUAAAUUUACUAUGCUACUCAUAAAUGCCUUUCUGCCAGAUUAAUAGAAAACCUUUAGAAGCUGGACUUGUAACUUAUUCUGGGAUAUGGUCUUCCACAAACAAUUGGAGUCAUCAGUGUUCAGUGGAACAUCCUUUCAGUUGCAUGAAGAUGCCAAACUAGAGGAAAGAGGACACACCAUGUGAUUUCCCAAGGGCCAUCAUUUCCCAAGGGAUGGUUGUGACUGAGGGGACACAAAAACAAACAGUCUAAAACCAACAGAUAUUCCUAUCUAAAGUAUCUUUUUAUAGCACAGCAUAGCUGUAUUCAAUAUAAAACAAGGAGAGUGAUAACUGAAUGUGAAUUACAAAGCAGAAUUUUAAUCAUGAUACAUGAGUUAAUAAUACACAUGAGUUAAACUCAUGAUACAUGAAUUAAAGAAAAUAACUGGAACCCCUUUUCAUAUUUUAUUGUCAAAAGUUUUACCAAAUAGGUGGUUUAUUUGGAAAAGUAGCACCUCUUUGAAAUUAACUCUUGAUUUGUAAAAGUUCAGAUUGUUCCUAUCUACUUGGUCAACUAAAAGUGAUUAUUUUUAUUGCUAUAAGCCAUGCAUGUUGGUCUUUGAGAAAUAUGCCAUUAAUCAUGGUUAAAUUGUAUAGGCUCAAAAAUCUCUAAGACCUGCAAGAAAAAAAAAACAAAAUCCAAAAAUGUUGUAAAAUUAAUUAUUAGUCUAUAAAAAGUUGUGUGGACUUUCUACAAAACCAGCAAUUGGAAAAUGACAAAAUUGUUAUUUUAUCCCUAGAGAAUCUUUACACAUUUACCUCAAAGGGAGGAAUAGAGUCAAUUACUUCUAUUUCAAAUAGAUACUCCCUUUGACAAGUAUGCAAAUCAUACUGGAACUAUACAUCUGAGCUUUUUAAUUGUGACAACUCUGAGAUACUACUUGGUAAAGAAGAUUGUGCUAUUACCUCUCCAGUCUGUUCUCAAAGGGAAUAACACUCAUGUUUCCGAGGCAGAGAGAGCACCAAGAGGUGAGGUUCUGUCCACUCCUGCUGUGGACUGAAUUGUGUUCCUCCCUCCACCCACCAAUUUAUAUGUUGAAGCCCUAAUCACCAAUGUGAGUAUAUCUGGAGAUGGAGCCUUUAAGAAGGUGAUUAAAAUUAAAAGAGGUCAUAAGGGUCGAGCCCUAAUCCAGUAGAACUCUUGCUCUUUUAAGAAGAGGAAGAGACAUCAGAGCUGUUUCUCUGCUAUUUAAGGACAUUUUGAGAAGGCAGUCAUCUGCAAACCAGGAAAACAGCCGUCACCAGAGUCCAACCAUGCUGGCAACCUGAUCUUGGACAUCCAGCCUCCAGAACUGUGAGAAAUACAUUUCUGCUGUCACCCAGUCUACAGUAUUUUGAUAUGGCAGCCCAAGCUAACAUAACCCCUUAAGUAACCUAGCCAAAAAUUAUUAUUUUUUCAGCAAAUAAGGAGAAAGAAAAAAUGUUUUAUAAGAUUUUAAUUUUUGUAGGGUUGCCUGGGUGGCUCAGGCAGUUGAGCAUCCAAAUCUUGAUCUCAGCUCAGGUCUUCAUCUCAGGGCCCUGAGUUCAAGCUCUGAGUUGAGCUGCAUGCUGGACAUGGAAUCUACUGUUUUAAAAAAACGAUUGCAAUUUUUAUAAGAAAAAAUGUGAAUAAAACCAUCUUUGAAAAUUGAGUUCUCUUUAUUUUUUGUAAUACACAGCCUAAGAAAAUUUGGUGUUCUUGCUAUUCAAACAUAGCUUCAAAAGAAAUAGCAUUGCUUCUGCCAAUCUUACAUAACUUGAUACCAAAAUAACAAUCCAAUUAAAAAAUGGGCAGAGGACAUGAAUAGACAUUUUUUCAAAGUAGACAUACAGAUGUCCAAUAAACAUAUUAAAAUAUGUUAAACAUCAUUCAUCAUUAGGGAAAUGCAAAUCCAAAACACAGUGAGAUUUCCCCUUAUUAUCUAUCAGAAUGGCUAAAAUCAAAAAGAUAAGAAAUAACAAGUGUUGGUAAGGAUGUGGAGAAUAAGGAACCUUUGUGCUCUGUUGGUGGGAAUGUAAACUGGUACAGCCACUGUG